rnacentral:misc_RNA from 1 species
GUAGGUGAACCUGCGGAAGGAUCAUUACUGAGUAAGGUGUUAUUUUAAUGCCAACUCUCUACCCUUUUUGUCUACAAUAUUGUACACCUUUGGCAAGUCGUUUAGCUGUGCUAGCCACUGAAAACUCAAGUUUUGAGUGAGAGUUUGCCAAAGUCUUUAAACACUAUUGAAAAUGAUGUCUGAGAAUAAAUGAAAUAAAACAAAACUUUCAACAACGGAUCUCUUGGUUCUG